rnacentral:rRNA from 1 species
CAGGCCUAACACAUGCAAGUCGCGGGGCAGUAUGUUGGUUGCUUGCAACCGAUGAUGGCGACCGGCGCACGGGUGAGUAACGCGUAUCCAACCUUCCCCAUAGUAGGGUACAGCCCGGCGAAAGUCGGAUUAAUGCCCUAUGUUAUUCGUUGAGGACAUCUGAAGUGAAUCAAAGACUUGUCGCUGAGGGAUGGGGAUGCGUCUGAUUAGGUAGUCGGCGGGGUAACGGCCCACCUAGCCGACGAUCAGUAGGGGUUCUGAGAGGAAGGUCCCCCACAUUGGAACUGAGACACGGUCCAAACUCCUACGGGAGGCAGCAGUGAGGAAUAUUGGUCAAUGGCCGAGAGGCUGAACCAGCCAAGUAGCGUGCAGGAAGACGGCCCUAUGGGUUGUAAACUGCUUUUAUGCGGGGAUAAAGUUGGGCACGCGUGCCCAUUUGCAGGUACCGCAUGAAUAAGGACCGGCUAAUUCCGUGCCAGCAGCCGCGGUAAUACGGAAGGUCCGGGCGUUAUCCGGAUUUAUUGGGUUUAAAGGGAGCGCAGGCUGAUGAUUAAGCGUGACGUGAAAUGUAGCCGCUCAACGGCUGAACUGCGUCGCGAACUGGUUAUCUUGAGUGAGUUCGAUGUUGGCGGAAUUCGUGGUGUAGCGGUGAAAUGCUUAGAUAUCACGAAGAACUCCGAUUGCGAAGGCAGCCAACAAGGCCUUUACUGACGCUAAAGCUCGAAGGUGCGGGUAUCGAACAGGAUUAGAUACCCUGGUAGUCCGCACAGUAAACGAUGAAUACUUGCCUUCGGCGAUACAUUGUCGGAGGCAAAGCGAAAGCGAUAAGCCAUCCACCUGGGGAGUACGACCGCAAGGUUGAAACUCAAAGGAAUUGACGGGGGCCCGCACAAGCGGAGGAACAUGUGGUUUAAUUCGAUGAUACGCGAGGAACCUUACCCGGGCUCGAACGGCAGAGGAACAAUCCAGAGAUGGUGCGGCCCUUCGGGGCUUCUGUCGAGGUGCUGCAUGGUUGUCGUCAGCUCGUGCCGUGAGGUGUCGGCUCAAGUGCCAUAACGAGCGCAACCCUUGCCGUCAGUUACCAUCAAGUAGUGUUGGGGACUCUGGCGGGACUGCCACCGCAAGGUGUGAGGAAGGGGGGGAUGACGUCAAAUCAGCACGGCCCUUACGUCCGGGGCGACACACGUGUUACAAUGGCGGCCACAGAGGGGCACUACCUGGUGACAGGAUGGGAAUCUCGAAAAGCCGUCUCAGUCCGGAUCGGAGUCUGCAACCCGACUCCGUGAAGCUGGAUUCGCUAGUAAUCGCGCAUCAGCCAUGGCGCGGUGAAUACGUUCCCGG